ACGCUGGCUCCAGGCCUAACACAUGCAAGUCGAGCGCCCCGCAAGGGGAGCGGCAGACGGGAGAGUAACACGUGGGAACGUACCCUUCGGUUCGGAACAACCCAGGGAAACUUGGGCUAAUACCGGAUACGUCCGAAAGGAGAAAGAUUUAUCGCCGAGGGAUCGGCCCGCGUCUGAUUAGCUAGUUGGUGGGGUAACGGCCCACCAAGGCGACGAUCAGUAGCUGGUCUGAGAGGAUGAUCAGCCUCACUGGGACUGAGACACGGCCCAGACUCCUACGGGAGGCAGCAGUGGG
rnacentral:misc_RNA from 1 species